AGAGUUUGAUUCUGGCUCAGGACGAACGCUGGCGGCAUGCCUAAUACAUGCAAGUCGAGCGAAUGAAGAAGAAGCUUGCUUCUUUUGAUUUAGCGGCGGACGGGUGAGUAACACGUGGGCAACCUGCCCUGUAGAUUGGGAUAACUCCGGGAAACCGGGGCUAAUACCGAAUAAUCCAUUUCCUCACAUGUGGAAAUGUUAAAAGACGGCAUCUCGCUGUCACUACAGGAUGGGCCCGCGGCGCAUUAGCUAGUUGGUAGGGUAACGGCCUACCAAGGCGACGAUGCGUAGCCGACCUGAGAGGGUGAUCGGCCACACUGGGACUGAGACACGGCCCAGACUCCUACGGGAGGCAGCAGUAGGGAAUCUUCCACAAUGGACGAAAGUCUGAUGGAGCAAUGCCGCGUGAGUGAAGAAGGUUUUCGGAUCGUAAAACUCUGUUGUGAGGGAAGAACAAGUACGAGAGUAACUGCUCGUACCUUGACGGUACCUCAUUAGAAAGCCACGGCUAACUACGUGCCAGCCGCCGCGGUAA
rnacentral:rRNA from 1 species